rnacentral:tRNA from 1 species
GUCCCUGUAGCUUACAUCUAAAGCAUGGCACUGAAGAUGCCAAGAUGGCUCCACCCGCCCAUGGACA